rnacentral:misc_RNA from 1 species
AUCUACACCCCUCAAGCACUGCUUGGUGAUGGGCGUCUGUCCCGCCUUCGCGCGCGGACUCGCCCCAAAGGCAUUGGCAGCGGUCCCGAUCGCCCUCUCGCGCAGCACAUUUGCGCUUCUCGAGGCGGCGGGUUCGCGUCCACGAAGCCCUUUUUACCACGUUUGACCUCGGAUCAGGUAGGGAUACCCGCUGAACUUAA